UUUUCUUCUUUACUCACGAGCGGGCCCCACUGCCACGUCGUCCUCAUCAAGCUUCAGCCCAAGUUAAAACGCACGCACGAAACAGCAUAGUGUUUCCGUUUUCUGGCGUUUUUACUCCAAUUGGUUCCCAGUGAUUUACUACACCAAUUAAUGCACCGUUUGUUGCUACUUAAGCCUCUCUUACUCCUCUUCAUUUCCCCUCAAACCACACAGACCGAGAGCCUCCAGGCUGCUCAAAUUUUGCCUCGCAAUUCUGCGGUACCGUUGCAUUAAAUCGUCGAUUACGCGCUAUCUUCGUCCGUGAGCACGUCCGCGGGACAGUUUUCCGGCGAGCGAUUUCCGGCGAAACAGUGCACCUCGACGUCCGCCACUUCUUCAUCGAUUUCGUCUUGUCAAACAGCGCCGUGGUUUGCUUCACCAUCGGCAGAGAUCUUCGAGGAAGCUCCACGGACAUCAACCAUCGAAAGUCAACUACACCUAGCUGUCUCUGUUCCCGUGGAUUGUGGUUGUGCUAAUUACAACGAGUGUUUUUGCGAAGAGUGUACCAACUCCUCCUCUCACCAAGGCAAGU